rnacentral:rRNA from 1 species
GAUGAACGCUAGCGGCAGGCCUAAUACAUGCAAGUCGGACGGGAUUCAGGAGCUUGCUUCUGAUGAGAGUGGCGCACGGGUGCGUAACACGUAUGUAACCUACCUUUAUCAGGGGGAUAGCCUCUCGAAAGAGAGAUUAAGCCCGCAUAAAAUCACAGCACAGCAUUGUGUAAUGAUCAAAUAUUUAUUGGAUAAUGAUGGGCAUGCGGAACAUUGGCUAGAUGGCGGGGUAACGGCCCACCAUGGCGACGAUUUUUAGGGGAUCUGAGAGGAUGGCCCCCUAGACUGGAACUGAGACACGGACCAGACUCCGACGGGAGGCAGCAGUAAGGUAGAUUAGUCGAUGAGCGGAAGCCUGAACCAGCCAUGCCGCGUGCAGAAAGACGGCCAUACGGGUUGUAAACUGCUUUUAUACGGGAAUAAAAACAGAUACGUGUAUCUGGCUGAAUGUACUGAAAGAAUAAGGAUCGGCUAACUCCGUG